CCCAGGGAGAGAGCCCCUGCACUGUCGCCAGGGAAACCCCGUGGCGUGGUUGUGUGUCAGUUUCGCUGGGACCCGCGGUCGAUGCCGGUGAGGAGGGGGAUGGGCGCCUCGGCGAAUGCAAGGACCCGAGACAGAAUCAGAGCCCUGUAUCACAUACAGCAGCAUAUACCCCAUUAUAAAUAGCGAUAGUAUAUACAAUACACAAAAAUACAUGGAUCUAUCCACCGGGGAUCUAUAAAAGACAGUCAAUGGAUGCAGUGCACCUGAACAGGACAUGGAAUUUAACUUUUCCUCUACGUUUGGGAGACACUGAGAAGUUGGUUUCCUACCCCUGGAGAGGGAGCUACUUUUGAGGGCAAAGGAUACAGGAAACUCCGAGGCCGACCUACGGGCCUACUGGUCUGUUUGGAUCUGAUGUUGGGAUACUCUAAGGACCCACUGUACAUGCGUUUGCCUUGCUUGUUCAAAUUUGGAAUGCCUCUUUAGAGGCCCAAAGAGUGACUCCCUUUGUGAGCGAGGUAGCAGUGAGCUGGAUACUUCUGUGAGCCAGCGGUCACCGCGACGAGAAUGUGAGGUUUGAACAGGGGCACCCAGCACACGCCAUCACGUAUGUCACAGCGUCACAUCAACCAUUCACGCUCUGUUUCAUACCGUCGUCUGCUCAGCGCUACCGAUGAGUAACGCUUAUAGAAGCCCGGCCCGUGAACGACCAAAACCCAGUAUGUCCUCGCCUGUGUCGCCGCUGAGGCCACAGUGUGCCGCUUCUGUAACCACCGGGUCGCUGACACGUCGUGUUGCUGCGUGUGCGUGUGUUUGUCCCAGCUGGAUGGGGUCGACAUUCUGUUGGACGCUGAGCACAGCUGAACUGACCUUGACAUUAUUGGAAGUCCCCAGCCUUGCUGUGGUUGCCCUGGUGCUGUAUCCAUGGGACCAUUACAGAAAUGUCCCCUGGCUCUCUACAAGGAAAUCCGCCCCUGUCCUGCUGUUGGGCUUUUGCUUUUGUAGUAUCUUCUUUUUCUAUGUAUUUAUUGAAACAUGUAAGUGUUAUUCUGGUGUGUGUGUGUGAACUGUGAGAACGCAGGAGGACCCGUUCCCCUUUCUGCAGCCUUCCUGUCUCGGGCUCCGCAGUCUGACUGGGGAGGAUCGGCAGGAAGAGCGUGUGGUCACGUGAUGCGAGGGCUGGGCCUCCAGUAGGAUGACUCACCCUCCAGGCGCCUGGGAGCAGGGCUCCUCCUGCUGGUUCCCCGUGGUGGUGCAGCCGGACAGGAUGUGAAGCCCCUAGUUGUUUUCCUGCUCUUUGAAGGCCGCCCCCCCCCCC
ensembl:lncRNA